rnacentral:tRNA from 1 species
GGAGACGUGGCCGAGUGGUUUAAGGCAGCGGUCUUGAAAACCGCCGAACGUUUGCGCGUUCCGUGAGUUCGAAUCUCACCGUCUCCG